GCAUAAUCAUUUGCCUUUUAAUUAAAGGCUAGUAUGAACGGAUUAACGAGAGUCUUCCUAUAUUAUCUCUACCCCUAAAAUUUAAAUUCCAGGUGAAGAUGCCUGGAUUAAUUUGAAAGACAAGAAGACCCUGUAGAGUUUUAGUACCCCAUUUAUCACCUUAAAACUGUACUUUGAUUGGGGUGAUCAAGGGUUUUAAACUAACACCCUACUUUUUCUAAGAACCUUUUUCCUAUUAAUAAUCCUUACACAAAGAACUUAAAAUCAACUACCUCAGGGAUAACAGGCUUAUCUUUCUAAAAAGACCAAAUUAACAGAAAGGUUUGGCACCUCGAUGUUGGCUUAGAGUAACCCAAUAAAGCAAAAAUUAUUUCCGGUUAGUUUGUUCAACUAUUAAACCUCU
rnacentral:rRNA from 1 species